UCUGUACAUCUAUCAGGUGUUUCUGUAUGACUUUAACUUCAUCAACACCCAGCUUGGUGCAGUGACAGCUCUCGUCUUCAGUGGCAAAUGAGAAAGUUUGAAGAACAUGGAAGUGUUAUGAAGAUCUUCCUACAGAAAACAUCAGAGGAAAUCAUGGGAAGUUGUGACUACAGCAACACACUAGCUUCCAUGGGCAUCCCACAGAGCCCACUGCAGUGAGGAGAACAGCCCCAUCUGCUUGCAGAUGAGAGGAAACAAACACAGAUAAUCUCAAGGUUCAUCCAGCUUUCCUGCUCCCCUCAGUUAAUCCCCCACCAACAGCAUUGCCCAUGGAACCACCAGGCUCCAGCCACCUCUGGAUGCUGCCAGCCCACUGGGGAAGCAGCAGCCAAUCCAGAGCUGGCUCUUCUCCUGUCCCAAAGCAACC